rnacentral:tRNA from 1 species
AAUAUAUUGACUAAUCUAACUAAAGACUACUGAUUUCGGCUCAGUAAAUCCCAAAAAUAUUUGGGGUCAAUAU